rnacentral:rRNA from 1 species
UACGUAGGGGGCGAGCGUUGUCCGGAUUGACUGGGCGUAAAGCGCGCGCAGGCGGCCUGACGCGCCGGCCGUGAAAGCCCCCGGCUCAACCGGGGCGGGUCGGUCGGGACGGUCAGGCUGGAGGGUGUCAGAGGGGGGUGGAAUGCCGCGUGGAGCAGUGAAAUGCGUAGAGAUGCGGCGGAACACCGGCGGCGAAGGCGGCCCCCUGGGGCACAUCUGACGCUGAGGCGCGAAGGCCGGGGGAGCGAACGGG